CCCUUAGUAACGGCGAGCGAAAAGGGAAGAGUCCAGCGCCAAGUCUUGACGCCCAAAACGUCAAGAGAUGCGGCGUUAAUGUAUUAUCGCAUCGUGCAUUGUUGCCUGUUUCAAGUUCCCUUGACAGGGACAUCCAUAGCGGGUGCUAGGCCCAUAGAGGCAAGCAACCAGUGUGCGCAGAUAAUGCAUUCUAGAGUCAGGUUGCUUGAGAGUGCAGCUUAAAGUGGGUGGUAAACUCCAUCUAAGGCUAAAUAUGACAGCGAGACCGAUAGCAAACAAGUACCGUGAGGGAAAGUUGCAAAGCACUUUGAAGAGAGAGUUCAAUAGUACGUGAAACCACUGGGAGGCAAACAGAUGGAACCACGAAGUUGCGCCUCACUCGAUUCAAUCAUUGUUGCCAGUUACCGGUUCUUGUGUGGAUCUUUUCGGAGAUUAGCAAGUGUCGUGGAACUGGUUUCAUUGGUGCAUUUCGUG
rnacentral:rRNA from 1 species